UGAGCCUGAGUUAUUCCCAGGACUCAUCUACCGGAUGGUGAAACCUCGUAUCGUCCUGCUCAUCUUUGUAUCUGGGAAGGUGGUUCUGACUGGAGCUAAAGAACGUGCAGAGAUCUACGAAGCCUUUGAGAACAUUUAUCCCAUCCUGAAGGGCUUUAGAAAGCAGUGACAGCAUUUUUGUUCUUGUGUGAUUAAAAUGAUGUGUGUUUAAUGGUAUGUGGAUAUGUUAAAUUCAGUGUUACACCAUUUCUUUUGUUGGAAAAACAGGUAAAUUUGUUUUAGAGCUUGUUGAUUUCCCUCAAACAAAAUAAUUUUUUUUAAAAAUGCUGACCUACAUUAUUUUUGAGGGGAGGCUGAAGGGGACUAGAAAUCAGACAAUUGAAACAUUUGAGUUUGAUUUCAGUUUUCCCUGUGUAACCUGUCAGUGUCCUUUGGCAAGACACUGAAGUCCAAGUUACCUAUGUGUACAGUAUUCUUACUGCUUCACCUUCCCCACAUUUUAUUUUAUUCAAAAUUAUACACACAAAUACACCAUUAUG